rnacentral:lncRNA from 1 species
CUUCUGCCUUGAGUCAUGAGUAGGGAUGGCAAUUUAUUUUCGAUCCGAUGGAUAUCUGAUCCGAAUGGAAUGAAUUUUAUCCGAUCUGAUUAAGAGACAUGAUAGGUAUGAAUUUUAAAAAAUAUAUAUCCGAAGUAGAUUUAGAUCGGAUAUGGAUAAUGAUAUGCCUCAUUCCGAACCCGAUCCAAUACUAUAAAAGGCUUAAACCCGCUGCCUC